rnacentral:rRNA from 1 species
UGAGUGCGAGCUGCUACGGCAGCGAAGUGGGUGACGUCAAGCUUCCAAGAAAAGCCCUAUACCCGUUAAGGCAUGAUUGCCUGUACCCGAAACCGACGCAGGUGGGGUGGUAGAGAAUACCGAGGGGCGCGAGGUAACUCUCUCUAAGGAACUCGGCAAAAUGGCCCCGUAACUUCGGGAGAAGGGGUGCCACCGCAAGGUGGUCGCAGUGAAGAGGCCCAGGCGACUGUUUACCAAAAACACAGGUCUCCGCUAAGUCGCAAGACGAUGUAUGGGGGCUGACGCCUGCCCAGUGCCGGAAGGUUAAGGAAGCUGGUCAGCGUAAGCGAAGCUGGCGACUGAAGCCCCGGUGAACGGCGGCCGUAACAAUAACGGUCCUAAGGUAGCGAAAUUCCUUGUCGGGUAAGUUCCGACCCGCACGAAAGGCGUAACGAUCUGGGCGCUGUCUCGGAGAGAGGCUUGCGAAAUAGAAUUGUCUGUGAAGAUGCGGACUACGUGCACCCGGACAGAAAGACCCUAUGAAGCUUUACUGUAGCUUGGUAUUGUGCCCGGGCUCGCAAUGCGCAGGGUAGGUGGGAGGCUUUGAUCAUCGGCUUGCGGGUCGAUGUGAGCCACUGGUGAGAUACCACUCUUUGCGAGCUAGGGUUCUAACGGCCACCCGUGAUCCGGGGGCCGGACAGUAUCAGGUGGGCAGUUUGACUGGGGCGGUCCCCUCCUAAAAGGUAACGGAGGCGCGCAAAGGUUCCCUCAGGCUGGUUGGAAAUCAGCCGACGAGUGUAAAGGCAGAAGGGAGCUUGACUGUGAGACCUACAAGUCGAACAGGGACGAAAGUCGGCCUUAGUGAUCCGACGGUUCUGAGUGGAAGGGCCGUCGCUCAACGGAUAAAAGUUACUCUAGGAUAACAGGCUGAUCUCCCCCAAGAGUUCACAUCGACGGGGAGGUUUGGCACCUCGAUGUCGGCUCAUCGCAACCUGGGGCUGAAGUCGGUCCCAAGGGUUGGGCUGUUCGCCCAUUAAAGCGGUACGCGAGCUGGGUUCAGAACGUCGUGAGACAGUUCGGUCCAUAUCCGGUGCAUGCGCAGGAAUAUUGAGAGGAGUUCUCCCUAGUACGAGAGGACCGGGAGGAACGCACCUCUGGUGUACCAGUUAUCGUGCCAACGGUAAACGCUGGGUAGCCAUGUGCGGAGAGGAUAACCGCUGAAAGCAUCUAAGUGGGAAGCCCACCUCAAGAUGAGUAUUCCCAUGGCAUAAGCCAGUAAGAUCACGGGAAGAACACCCGUUGAUAGGCUCUACGUGGAAGCGCAGUAAUGCGUGAAGCGGAGGAGUACUAAUAGACC